ACGCUGGCGGCAGGCUUAACACAUGCAAGUCGAGCGGAGAUGAGGUGCUUGCACCUUACUUAGCGGCGGACGGGUGAGUAAUGCUUAGGAAUCUGCCUAUUAGUGGGGGACAACAUUCCGAAAGGAAUGCUAAUACCGCAUACGUCCUACGGGAGAAAGCAGGGGAUCUUCGGACCUUGCGCUAAUAGAUGAGCCUAAGUCGGAUUAGCUAGUUGGUGGGGUAAAGGCCUACCAAGGCGACGAUCUGUAGCGGGUCUGAGAGGAUGAUCCGCCACACUGGGACUGAGACACGGCCCAGACUCCUACGGGAGGCAGCAGUGGGGAAUAUUGGACAAUGGGGGGAACCCUGAUCCAGCCAUGCCGCGUGUGUGAAGAAGGCCUUAUGGUUGUAAAGCACUUUAAGCGAGGAGGAGGCUACUGAGACUAAUACUCUUGGAUAGUGGACGUUACUCGCAGAAUAAGCACCGGCUAACUCUGUGCCAGCAGCCGCGGUAAUACAGAGGGUGCGAGCGUUAAUCGGAUUUACUGGGCGUAAAGCGUGCGUAGGCGGCUUUUUAAGUCGGAUGUGAAAUCCCCGAGCUUAACUUGGGAAUUGCAUUCGAUACUGGGAAGCUAGAGUAUGGGAGAGGAUGGUAGAAUUCCAGGUGUAUCGGUGAAAUGCGUAGAGAUCUGGAGGAAUACCGAUGGCGAAGGCAGCCAUCUGGCCUAAUACUGACGCUGAGGUACGAAAGCAUGGGGAGCAAACAGGAUUAGAUACCCUGGUAGUCCAUGCCGUAAACGAUGUCUACUAGCCGUUGGGGCCUUUGAGGCUUUAGUGGCGCAGCUAACGCGAUAAGUAGACCGCCUGGGGAGUACGGUCGCAAGACUAAAACUCAAAUGAAUUGACGGGGGCCCGCACAAGCGGUGGAGCAUGUGGUUUAAUUCGAUGCAACGCGAAGAACCUUACCUGGCCUUGACAUACUAGAAACUUUCCAGAGAUGGAUUGGUGCCUUCGGGAAUCUAGAUACAGGUGCUGCA
rnacentral:rRNA from 1 species